rnacentral:rRNA from 2 species
CAUUUGCCUUUUGUGAUACGCUUUCAAAGAGUCAGGUUGUUUGGGAAUGCAGCCUAAAUUGGGUGGUAAAUCUCACCUAAAGCUAAAUAUUGGCGAGAAACCGAUAGCGAACAAGUACCGUGAGGGAAAGAUGAAAAGAACUUUGAAAAGAGAGUUAAACAGUAUGUGAAAUUGUUAAAAGGGAACCGUUUGGAGCCAGACUGGCUUGUCUGUAAUCAAUCUAGGCUUCGGCCUGGAUGCACUUGCAGGCUAUGCCUGCCAACGACAAUUUGACUUGAGGGAAAAAACUAAGGGAAAUGUGGCCCACUUGUGGGUGUUAUAGUCCCUUAGAAAAUACCUUGGGUUGGAUUGAGGAACGCAGCGAAUGCUUUUUGGCGAGUUUUCCAGGAAGGUUUUCUGAGGUACUACGGUAUCAAGGUUGAUCUUU